rnacentral:rRNA from 1 species
UACGAAGGGGGCUAGCGUUGCUCGGAAUCACUGGGCGUAAAGCGCACGUAGGCGGCUUGUUAAGUCAGGGGUGAAAUCCUGGAGCUCAACUCCGGAACUGCCUUUGAUACUGGCGAGCUUGAGUCCGGGAGAGGUGAGUGGAACUGCGAGUGUAGAGGUGAAAUUCGUAGAUAUUCGCAAGAACACCAGUGGCGAAGGCGGCUCACUGGCCCGAUACUGACGCUGAGGCACGAAAGCGUGGGGAGCAAACAGG